rnacentral:rRNA from 1 species
CCUACGGGGGUAGCAGUGGGGAAUAUUGGACAAUGGGCGAAAGCCUGAUCCAGCCAUGCCGCGUGUGUGAAGAAGGCCUUCGGGUUGUAAAGCACUUUCAGUGGGGAAGAAAGCCUUGGGGCUAAUACCCUCGAGGAAGGACAUCACCCACAGAAGAAGCACCGGCUAACUCCGUGCCAGCAGCCGCGGUAAUACGGAGGGUGCGAGCGUUAAUCGGAAUUACUGGGCGUAAAGCGCGCGUAGGCGGUCUGAUAAGCCGGUUGUGAAAGCCCCGGGCUCAACCUGGGAACGGCAUCCGGAACGGUCAGGCUAGAGUGCAGGAGAGGAAGGUAGAAUUCCCGGUGUAGCGGUGAAAUGCGUAGAGAUCGGGAGGAAUACCAGUGGCGAAGGCGGCCUUCUGGACUGACACUGACGCUGAGGUGCGAAAGCGUGGGUAGCAAACAGGAUUAGAUACCCGAGUAGUC